rnacentral:tRNA from 1 species
GUUCUCCCUGGCGCAGGCCAGGGCGCGUGGGCUGCUGUCGGUGGCCACGACGCGGUUGAUACCGCGGUGGGCC